GACGAACCGUGCGAACGUUAUUCGGAAUCACUGGGCUUAAAGCGCGUGUAGGCGGGCCGCCACGUCGGCUGCUGAAAUCCCCCGGCUCAACCGGGGAACGGGCACCGAUACGAGCGGCCUCGAGGGGGGUAGGGGGGUCUGGAACUUCCGGUGGAGCGGUGAAAUGCGUUGAGAUCGGAAGGAACGCCCGUGGCGAAAGCGAGGCCCUGGACCCUUUCCGUAGCGUGAGACGCGAAAGCCAGGGGAGCAAAACGGGG
rnacentral:rRNA from 1 species